CAUGCAAGUCGAGCGGGAAGGGUAGCAAUACCCUGAGAGCGGCGCACGGGUGCGUAACGCGUAUGUAACCUGCCUUAUACAGGGGGAUAGCCCAUGGAAACAUGGAUUAACACCCCAUAGGACUGGAAUUUCGCAUGGGAAUUCAGUUAAAAUUACGGUGGUAUAAGAUGGGCAUGCGUCUGAUUAGGUAGUUGGUAGGGUAACGGCCUACCAAGCCGACGAUCAGUAGGGGUUCUGAGAGGAUUACCCCCCACACUGGUACUGAGACACGGACCAGACUCCUACGGGAGGCAGCAGUGAGGAAUAUUGGUCAAUGGGCGAGAGCCUGAACCAGCCAUCCCGCGUGCAGGAUGACGGCCCUAUGGGUUGUAAACUGCUUUUCUGCUCCAAGAAACCCUGUUACGUGUAACAGGUUGACGGUAGAGUAGGAAUAAGCAUCGGCUAACUCCGUGCCAGCAGCCGCGGUAAUACGGAGGAUGCAAGCGUUAUCCGGAUUCAUUGGGUUUAAAGGGUGCGCAGGUUGGAAUGUAAGUCAGUGGUGAAAUACUGCCGCUUAACGGUAGAACUGCCAUUGAUACUGCGUUUCUUGAGUAUGGUUGAGGUAGGUGGAAUGUGUUGUGUAGCGGUGAAAUGCAUAGAUAUGACACAGAACGCCGAUUGCGAAGGCAGCUUACUAAGCCAUUACUGACGCUGAGGCACGAAAGCGUGGGGAUCGAACAGGAUUAGAUACCCUGGUAGUCCACGCCGUAAACGAUGAUCACUCGCUGUUUGCGAUAUACAGCAAGCGGCUGAGCGAAAGCAUUAAGUGAUCCACCUGGGGAGUACGAUCGCAAGGUUGAAACUCAAAGGAAUUGACGGGGGCCCGCACAAGCGGAGGAACAUGUGGUUUAAUUCGAUGAUACGCGAGGAACCUUACCUGGGCUAGAAUGCUGGGAGACCGUAGGUGAAAGCCUACUUUGUAGCAAUACACUGCC
rnacentral:rRNA from 1 species